rnacentral:rRNA from 1 species
UACGAAGGAUGCGAGCGUUAUCCGGAUUUAUUGGGUUUAAAGGGAGCGUAGGCGGUCUUAUAAGUCAGUGGUGAAAUCUCGUUGCUUAACAACGAACGUGCCAUUGAUACUGUAGGACUUGAGUACAGUUGCCGUUGGCGGAAUGUGUCAUGUAGCGGUGAAAUGCAUAGAUAUGACACAGAACACCGAUUGCGGAGGCAGCUGACGAAACUGUAACUGACGCUGAGGCUCGAAAGCGUGGGGAUCAAACAGG